rnacentral:rRNA from 1 species
UGGGGAAUAUUGGACAAUGGGGGCAACCCUGAUCCAGCCAUGCCGCGUGUGUGAAGAAGGCCUUCGGGUUGUAAAGCACUUUCAGUAGGGAGGAAAGCUCGGUUGCUAAUAUCGGCCGGGAUUGACGUUACCUACAGAAGCAGCACCGGCUAACUUCGUGCCAGCAGCCGCGGUAAUACGAAGGGUGCAAGCGUUAAUCGGAAUUACUGGGCGUAAAGCGCGCGUAGGCGGUUUGGUAAGUGUGAUGUGAAAGCCCCGGGCUCAACCUGGGAAUUGCCUCACAUACUGCCAGGCUAGAGUACGGUAGAGGGGGGUAGAAUUCCACGUGUAGCGGUGAAAUGCGUAGAGAUGUGGAGGAAUACCAGUGGCGAAGGCGGCCCCCUGGAUCGAUACUGACGCUGAGGUGCGAAAGCGUGGGGAGCAAACAGG